CUAUAACCCUUUGUGAACAUACCUACAACUGUUGCUUCGGCGGGUAGGCCGUCCCCUGAAAAGGACGCCUCCCGGCCCGGACCGGACCCCCCCGUGGGACCGGACCCGGCGCCCGCCGGAGGAUAACCAAACUCUAUUGUAACGACGUUUCUUCUGAGUGGCAUAAGCAAAAUAAUCAAAACUUUUAACAACGGAUCUCUUGGUUCUGGCAUCGAUGAAGAACGCAGCGAAAUGCGAUAAGUAAUGUGAAUUGCAGAAUUCAGUGAAUCAUCGAAUCUUUGAACGCACAUUGCGCCCGCCAGCAUUCUGGCGGGCAUGCCUGUUCGAGCGUCAUUUCAACCCUCAAGCUCUGCUUGGUGUUGGGGCUCUACGGUCGACGUAGGCCCUCAAAGGUAGUGGCGGACCCUCCCGGAGCCUCCUUUGCGUAGUAACAUUUCGUCUCGCACUGGGAUCCGGAGGGACUCUUGCCGUAAAACCCCCAAUUUUCCAAAGGUUGACCUCGGAUCAGGUAGGAAUACCCGCUGAACUUAAGCAUAUCAA
rnacentral:rRNA from 1 species